ensembl:lncRNA
AAAAGUCUGACAUUCAGUAUUUAUUAUAAUAACAGAGAUUAAGAACAGUCCUACUGAACACUAAUAUUUAAAGACAUAUUUCUUUCAGAAGUGAUAUUACAACACAGGACAAUGAACACACUCCCAGAAGUAUAUACUUCAAGCAAAAAAUAUUUCCUGUGAUAAAUACAGAAUUAAAAAAGGUAUUACAUGUUAAUUCAGAUGGAAAUGGAGUAGUUACAUACUUUCAAAUCUAAACUCCAGCUAUUUACAAUUUCCCCAGCAAUUGCACAACAAUAAGAAAUCUGCAUUCAAGGUUUUCUGUCAUCACAUUGGGUUUGAGAAAAACAGCACACACACACAAAAAAAAGAUCAGAAUCCAUCAAAAUUUUGUAAGAGAAAAAAUGUGGAAAUCCUUUGCUCUCUGCUUCUUUCUCAGUGACAUUAGGCUAUUUAGUAUUUUUGUCUCCAUAGAUCGGGUAUUCAAUAUUAAUUCCCUCAAUUAUUCUGGUAAAGUCAGUACAUGCCACAGUGCAUGCUUUAAAUGUAUUUUAUUUUCCAUACAUCAUUUUCUUCAUCAGCAUAAAUGGGUUCUUGCAUGUACAACCUACCCCUUGCAUGUACACCUGAACAAUCUGGCAGUUCAAAUGCGUAUAUUAUGUAGGGAAAGUGUUAAAAUUUACAUAUCUGUUCCAUUUAAAUUUGAAAACUGACUUCCAUGGGGAAGGUUCUUAUCCUUAUUUGACAUGUGGCACAGGCCAAAGAUCUGCAGUUGUAUCUACUGAAAGGAAACCAACACAAACAGUGAGAGAGAAAGAUAUGAGCAAUUUGGGUGAUGUGAUUUCUUGGACUUUCAGUUGUGUGUGUGUGAUUGUCAUAUACUUUUGUGUCAGAUAUUUGGCUAUCUAAAUAUUUCACUUUUCACAUGACAUAGUCCUAAGAGCAUGUAGUAUAAAUCACUUAUGAGAAGAUAGUCAUGUGAAUGGCAUCUCACAGACAAACAAUAAUUUCUAAGUUCUAAUUGAACAUAAUCCAAACACAGAAUAAUAUUUUGUUUGGUUAAAGAAGAAUUCUACAGGAAUCAAAGGCUUAGCCCUACAUUCCUUCCUUAUGUCAAUAUUCCUAUUGAAUUCAAUGGGGUGCUUUAUGUAUAUUGCUUGCUCUGAAAGUUCCUGCAGGGAUCUUUUAAAUAGAAAUGAUUUUUAGUCAAUAUAGUCAGAGUUCAAAAUAAAAGAAUUUGGCCCUUGACUCUAAAUCUGGCUGAUUCAUUAUUAAUAGUUAUUUAAGAAGUUUUCUAACCAGUAGUUCAAAGUACAAACCUAUUGUAGAGAUAACAUCGUACAAUAAUAAUAUACAUUCAGUAUUUUAAAAAGGUUUUUCUAAACACAGAACAUGUAAAGAAAAGCACUAUAUACUGAGAUUCAUCCAAAUUCUUGCAAAGAGCAGAAUAUUCUUAUCCUAACAUGCCCAGAGGGAAAACAGAAAUUUUGGAGCAGAAGUCCAACCUCUUACAGCAUUGCUGUUCAGUUUUCAGUGAAUCCAACUGAAGCCCAUCCAAGUUGUCUUGUUGCUGAAUCCAUGCUAUGUUUGCUAUGUUAGACUGAACUUGUCAUCCUUCCCUUAGAGUUGGAGCUGAAUGUGGAGUUGCAAACAAGAGGUAAUACAUAAACAAACUUGAACUUGAGCAUAUGAAGCUUCGUACUAACAUGCAGAAGAACUUCUUUAUGGCAAAGGUGACACAGCAUUGGAACAGAGAUGUCCAGGGAGGUUGUGGAGGCUCCUUCUAUGGAGACAUUCGAGACCUGCCUGGAGAGCUACCUGUGAGACAUAUUGUAGGGUAUCUGCUUUAGCGGAGGCGUUGGACUUGAUGAUUGCUUGAGGGCCCUUCCAACACCAGUGAAUGUGAUUUUCUGUGAUUGUGUGAUUGAACAAGGCUGCAUAAGGUUUCCACAAAAGAAAGACAGAAAUGUCAAGGCAGUUGCUUCCUACAGCCACCACCCGGAGGCAGGAAAGUGGGAAUCUGCAUGCAGUGUCUCCUACAUGCAUAUCUACAAAAUUCAAUCCAGCCCUCCAUUUUCCAUUUUCUCAAAAUGUUUUUGUAUUCAUUCAAAGAGUGAGACAUGACAGAAUGCAUGUGGAUAUGAGAUAACAUGUGCCUCAGGGCUAGUAUCAGGAGGAAGGUGAAGGCAACAACCCCAGACAUGAAGGUGAAGACAGUGAUGCAAAAUGCAGUUCAUCUCACAGCCGCACAAACCUGGAAGCCUCAUUACUGUGAAUAUAAGUCUUGAAUGAUCAAAAAAAAAAAAAAAAAA